rnacentral:rRNA from 1 species
CCUACGGGUGGCUGCAGUGAGGAAUAUUGGUCAAUGGCCGUAAGGCUGAACCAGCCAAGUAGCGUGAGGGAAGACUGCCCUAUGGGUGUUAAACCUCUUUUAUGCGGGGAUAGAGGUGUCCACGUGUGGAUGUUCGCAGUUACCUCAUGAAUAAGGACCGGCUAAUUCCGUGCCAUCAGCCGCGGUAAUACGGAAGGUCGGGUCGUUCUCCGGAUUUAUUGGGCUUAAAGGGAGCGGAGGGCGGCCUUUAAGUGUGCCGUGAAAUUUUAGGGCUCAACCAUGAGAGUGCGGCGCGAACUGGAGACCUUGAGUGCGCGGAAGGCAGGCGGAAUUCGUGGUGUAGCGGUGAAAUGCUUAGAUAUCACGAAGAACCCCGAUUGCGAGGGCAGCCUGCCGCAGCGUUACUGACGCUGAAGCUCGAAAGCGCGGGUAUCGAACAGGAUUAGAUACCCGGGUAGUC